GCUCUAUCUACCAGGCCACACUGCUACUAGUGGUAGGAGCCCUGGUCAAUUUCGCAGCCAAUACCAGUACUGAAUGGGGAAAUUGAAAAACUGCAGAAUCGAUUUGCAGAAGUGAAGUUCUAUUUUCUUUUACACCUCUUUCAUCAGAGCUGGUAUCAUUCUUGUGUUGUGUGGUAUUAUUAUUGACAGAUUCCUGGGCAUUGCUGAUAAUUGUUGAAAGAGGCUAAAGCCAUUCCUUUAAAGUGGAAGCAGAAAUCACAUAAGGAGACUUUGGACAAUAUUCUUAUCUUCCAUAUGUGUUUCCUUCGGACAACCCGUGUUUCAUCUCUGCUCCGAUUUAAAUGUAAAGCUCUCAUCCCCCAUUUUCUCACUCUAUCCUAGAUUUACUUGCCUCGACUAUUGUGUUCCUCUGUUUUUUUGUGCAAAAGUGAUAAAAUUCAAGGCCAUAAAGCUUUUAAUUCUGAAUUUGAAUAUAAGGAGGAAUGGUUAAAAAAAAUCUUAUAGAUUGUACUGUUGUUCUAAAACUUGAUGAAUUGGCUUCCCAAUGUAACAUGUUUUUAAAAAAAGUUAUUUUGUUAUGGUAUAAUUUAAUUAAACCUGCUUUAUUUUUGGA